AAAAAAGAAGAAGAAGAAGAAAAGAGCUGACAGUGGAGGUGGAGGCUGCCCAAGGACAGUGGUAGCAGCAGAAUAUCAACCCAGAGCCAUUAGCCUCUCCGGGCCUGGUCACAGUUAUGACUCAGUUUUCAGAACUUCAUGAUGCUUCGUCUAAACCAUGGACUCAGCUCAGUUCCUUCACAGCUUUAGUUUUCCUUCUUCUAACACAAAACUGUUCAGGUCUUUCCCAGGUGGUCGGUCCGUCUCAGCCGGUCCUGGCAAUGGUUGGUGAUGACGUUCUUUUGUCUUGUCGGCUGGAACCUGCUAUUGAUGCUUCAGGCAUGUCUGUGGUGUGGUCCAGAGAAGACCUAGACCCUCGAUAUGUCUACGUGUGGCGGGCUGGAGAGGAACUGGAAAGUUCAAAACAUCCUGCUUAUAAAGGAAGAACAUCAUUGUUAUUUAGUAAACUAGAGUUUGGAGACGUUUCACUGAAACUCUCCAAAGUGAAACCGUCUGAUGAGGGAAAAUACAGAUGCUUCAUUCCUACUCUGGGUCGAGGAGCUACUGUUGAACUGGUUGUUGGUGAGUUAAUACUGAAAGUUCAAGACUCAGAUAUUUGGGGUUUGUCAGGUUUUCUAAACAUAUUUCUGUGUAUGAUCAGGGGCCUAUUUCACGAAGC